rnacentral:rRNA from 1 species
AACGAACGCUGGCGGCAUGCCUAACACAUGCAAGUCGAACGAGGCCUUCGGGUCUAGUGGCGCACGGGUGCGUAACGCGUGGGAACCUGCCCUUAGGUUCGGAAUAACUCCCCGAAAGGGGUGCUAAUACCGGAUAAUGUCUUCGGACCAAGGAUUUAUCGCCUUUGGAUGGGCCCGCGUUGGAUUAGCUAGUUGGUAGGGUAAAAGCCUACCAAGGCGACGAUCCAUAGCUGGUCUGAGAGGAUGAUCAGCCACACUGGGACUGAGACACGGCCCAGACUCCUACGGGAGGCAGCAGUGGGGAAUAUUGGACAAUGGGCGAAAGCCUGAUCCAGCAAUGCCGCGUGAGUGAUGAAGGCCUUAGGGUUGUAAAGCUCUUUUACCCGGGAUGAUAAUGACAGUACCGGGAGAAUAAGCUCCGGCUAACUCCGUG